GACAGAGGUGCCAAGCGUUAGGCGGAAUCACUGGGCUUAAAGCGCGUGUAGGCGGCCCGAUAAGUCCGCCGUGAAAGUCCAGGGCUCAACCCUGGGAUGCCGGUGGAAACUGUCGGGCUAGAGUCCGGAAGAGGCGAGUGGAAUUCCUGGUGUAGCGGUGAAAUGCGCAGAUAUCAGGAGGAACACCAAUGGCGAAGGCAGCUCGCUGGGACGGUUACUGACGCUGAGACGCGAAAGCGUGGGGAGCAAACAGG
rnacentral:rRNA from 1 species